rnacentral:rRNA from 1 species
AGUGAACGCUGGCGGCGUGCUUAACACAUGCAAGUCGAACGAUAACGGAUUAUAGCUUGCUAUAAUUGUCAGCUAAGUGGCGCACGGGUGAGUACUGUAUAGGUAAUAUGCCUCUUACUAAGGGAUAACAAAUGGAAACGUUUGCUAAUACCUUAUACUCCUUAUUAACCUAAGUUAAUAAGGGAAAGAUUUAUUGGUAAGAGAUUAGCCUGUAUUGUAUCAGUUAGUUGGUGGGGUAAUGGCUUACCAAGACUAUGACACAUAACUGGUUUGAGAGGAUGAUCAGUCACACUGGAACUGAGACACGGUCCAGACUCCUACGGAAGGCAGCAGUGGGGAAUAUUGCACAAUGGACGAAAGUCUGAUGCAGCAACGCCGCGUGGAGGAUGACACAUUUCGGUGCGUAAACUCCUUUUAUAUGAGAAGAUAAUGACGGUAUUAUAUGAAUAAGCACCGGCUAACUCCGUGCCAGCAGCCGCCGUAA